CCUACGGGGGGCUGCAGUGGGGAAUAUUGGACAAUGGGGGCAACCCUGAUCCAGCCAUGCCGCGUGUGUGAAGAAGGCCCUCGGGUUGUAAAGCACUUUCAGUGAGGAAGAACGCCUGGUGGUUAAUACCCAUCAGGAAAGACAUCACUCACAGAAGAAGCACCGGCUAACUCCGUGCCAGCAGCCGCGGUAAUACGGAGGGUGCGAGCGUUAAUCGGAAUUACUGGGCGUAAAGCGCGCGUAGGUGGCUUGAUAAGCCGGUUGUGAAAGCCCCGGGCUCAACCUGGGAACGGCAUCCGGAACUGUCAAGCUAGAGUGCAGGAGAGGAAGGUAGAUUUCCCGGUGUAGCGGUGAAAUGCGUAGAGAUCGGGAGGAAUACCAGUGGCGAAGGCGGCCUUCUGGACUGACACUGACACUGAGGUGCGAAAGCGUGGGUAGCAAACAGGAUUAGAUACCCUAGUAGUC
rnacentral:rRNA from 1 species